UGGCCCCAUGGGAUCGACCUCGACCUUCGCGUUUGACACGACGCUCUAUCACCAACUGAGCUAUAGGGAC